GUCGGCUUCGGUGAAGAAGUCUGAAGUUUUGCUGUUGCAUUUGCGCUACUUGCAGCUGGUGCCAUAAUUCUGACUUUAAAUGUACUACUAUUGGGUGGCCACAUAAUUUUCUUCCAGAGUAUUAGUCUUCUGGGCUACUGCCUAUUCCCACUGGAUGUUGGAGCCCUAAUCUGCAUGUUAAAGGACAAUGUGAUAGUGAAGGUAAUUGUGGUUUGUGUGACAUUGGCUUGGAGCUCAUGGGCUGCAUAUCCAUUCAUGAGUUCAGCAGUCAACCCUCGGAGAAAAGCUCUUGCACUCUACCCUGUCUUACUCAUGUAUGUAUCUGUUGGGUUUCUCAUAAUUGCAAUUGAUUAAUGCACCAUUGGUGGCCACAAUACAAUUCCCAUAGGACGAUGAAAUUCACAUGCAAUAGUAGGCAUUUUACAUGUGCUAUUUUGCUUCUGGUGGAUUUUCUUGAACUUCUCUAUUUCUGACUUGAUAUGUCUGGAGACUCAAUCUGCCAAUAUUAUAUUGUAUACUCAUUGUAUGAAAUUUUUACUUGGAAGUGGAACCAGUGUUGUGCUAUA